CGGAGCUUGCUCCACCGGAAAAAGAGGAGUGGCGAACGGGUGAGUAACACGUGGGUAACCUGCCCAUCAGAAGGGGAUAACACUUGGAAACAGGUGCUAAUACCGUAUAACAAUCGAAACCGCAUGGUUUUGAUUUGAAAGGCGCUUUCGGGUGUCGCUGAUGGAUGGACCCGCGGUGCAUUAGCUAGUUGGUGAGGUAACGGCUCACCAAGGCCACGAUGCAUAGCCGACCUGAGAGGGUGAUCGGCCACAUUGGGACUGAGACACGGCCCAAACUCCUACGGGAGGCAGCAGUAGGGAAUCUUCGGCAAUGGACGAAAGUCUGACCGAGCAACGCCGCGUGAGUGAAGAAGGUUUUCGGAUCGUAAAACUCUGUUGUUAGAGAAGAACAAGGAUGAGAGUAACUGUUCAUCCCUUGACGGUAUCUAACCAGAAAGCCACGGCUAACUACGUGCCAGCAGCCGCGGUAAUACGUAGGUGGCAAGCGUUGUCCGGAUUUAUUGGGCGUAAAGCGAGCGCAGGCGGUUUCUUAAGUCUGAUGUGAAAGCCCCCGGCUCAACCGGGGAGGGUCAUUGGAAACUGGGAGACUUGAGUGCAGAAGAGGAGAGUGGAAUUCCAUGUGUAGCGGUGAAAUGCGUAGAUAUAUGGAGGAACACCAGUGGCGAA
rnacentral:rRNA from 4 species